rnacentral:lncRNA from 10 species
GGUGACUCUCUCAGGAGGUUGAAUAGGGUUAGAAAGACGGCAUGACUAUAUCUCUAAUGUAGACCUAAAGUGCUUCCUAGAGCUAGGGACCAGGAUUCUAAAUGAGACCUGAGGGAAUGGAGCUGUUGUUGACAAGAGCUGUUAGACAAACAGGACAUGGAGGAGGAUGCCCCGGGAAGCUUUUAGCUAGUGACUGAUAGAUGCAAGAAUAUGAAUGCCCAGCUCUUUUGCCUCCAGUAGAAAACUCUGAGGCUUGACUUACACACCAGAGCUGCCCUGCCAGGUCAGGCUGAGGCCACUCUUCGUGGGACUUUCCCUGAGAUCACAGCCUUCCUGUGUUGACUUCCUCCUCUUCCCUCUCCUGCUUCACACACACCCCUACUGGUCCCCCUGG